rnacentral:rRNA from 1 species
AUGUGUCAGUAUAAGCAUCUACAUGGCGAAACUGCGAAUGGCUCAUUAAAGCAGUUAUAGUUUAUUUGAUGGUGCGCUGCUACAUGGAUAACUGUGGUAAUUCUAGAGCUAAUACAUGCAUUCAAGCCCGACUUCUCAGAAUGGUUGNGUUUAUUAGAUACANAACNUACCCAGGUUCCACCUGGUCAUGUGGNGAUUCAUGAUAACUUGNCGAAUCGNGUGGCCUUGCCGACGAUGCGUCAUUCAAGUUUNUNACCUAUCAGCUUCCGACGGUAGGGUAUUGG